CUUUUGAGAAGUGUCUGUUCAUAUCCUUUGCCCACUUUUUGAUGGGGUUGUUUUUUUCUUGUAAAUUUGUUUAAGUUCUUUGUAGAUUCUGGAUAUUAGCCCUUUGUCAGAUGGGUAGAUUGCAAAAAUGUUCUCCCAUUCUGUAGGUUGCCUGUUCACUCUGAUGGUAGUUUCUUUUGCCAUGCAGAAGCUCUUUUAUUUAAUUAGGUCACAUUUGUCAGUUUUGGCUUUUGUUGCCAUUGCUUUUGGUGUUUUAGUCAUGGAUUCCUUGCCCAUGCCUAUAUUCUGAAUGGUAUUGCCUAGGUUUUCUUCUAUGGUUUUUAUGGUUUUAGGUCUAACGUUUAAGUCUUUAAUCCAUCAUAAAUUAAUUUUUGUAUAAGGUGUAAGGAAGGGGUCCAGUUUCAGCUUUCUACAUAUGGCUAGCCAGUUUUCCCAGCACCGUUUAUUAAACAGGGAAUCCUUUCCCCAUUUCUUGUUUUUGUCAGGUUUGUCAAAGAUCAGAUGGUUGUAGAUGUGUGGUGUUAUUUCUGAGGCCUCUGUUCUGUUCCAUUGAUCUAUAUCUCUGUUUUGGUACCAGUACCAUGCUGUUUUGGUUACUGUAGCCUUGUAGUAUAGUUUGAAGUCAGGUAGCAUGAUGCCUCCAGCUUUGUUCUUUUUGCUUAGGAUUGUCUUGGCAAUGUGGGCUCUUUUUUGGUUCCAUAUGAACUUUAAAGUAGUUUUUUCCAAUUCUGGGUAGAAAGUCAUUGUUAGCUUGAUGGGGACGGCAUUGAAUCUAUAAAUUACCUUGGGCAGUAUGGCCAUUUUCACGAUAUUGAUUCUUCCUAUCCAUGAGCAUGGAAUGUUCUUCCAGUUGUUUGUGUCCUCUUUUAUUUCUGAGCAGUGGUUUGUAGUUCUCCUUGAAGAGGUCCUUCACAUGCCUUUACCCAGGUAUUUUAUUCUCUUUGAAGCAAUUGUGAAUGGGAGUUCACUCAUGAUUUGGCUCUCUGUCUGUUAUUGGUUUAUAGGAAUGCUUGUGAUUUUUACACAUUGAUUUUUGUAUCCUGAGACUUUGCUGAAGUUGCUUAUCAGCUUAGGUGAUUUUGGGCUCAGCAGUCCUUGAGCCCAGGAUAUGGUGGUCUGAUUGUUGGUUGCACAGAUAUUUCUAAUUCUUCCCUUCAUUGCAGACAAAGUUUUGUUUUUUUUUCACUUGAAACUUUAAAACUCUAAACUUGUAAAUAGAACUUUUUCAGCCUCUGUUCCUGUCUAGAAAACCUGGUCCCCUGGUUUCAAGUAGUGCAUCUGACUGUUGUUCACCGCCUCCUCACAUGAGGUGUUUUGGUUUUCAUUUUCCCCAGUGCUGGAUUUUUGACCCUGGUGCCUGUUUUCACUCUCAGCCCUUCACGUGCCCCCUCGCUUGAGCCACACUGCAUUACAAGGAGUUGAUCACUUGUUUUAGAAAGGGCUGAAUAUCCCACUUGACUUGUCUCUUAAUUACUGUAUUGAUCCAUAUAAAGUCAACUUUUCCCCAUUUCUAGCUCAUCAUUUAUAGAUAUAAGAACCAUCUUACUUGUAAUCAUUGAAACAUACUUUAAAUUACAAAAAGUCCACUUCUAAUUUAACAAUUUCCCCUUUCCCCAUUCUCAAAAUGUACAGUGGUGCAGUGGUGAAUGGGGAUGGGGAGUGUUCG
rnacentral:lncRNA from 1 species